rnacentral:rRNA from 1 species
UUCGGGGACCGAGUAGAGUGGCGUCCGGGUGAGUAACACGUGGGUAAUUUGCCUUCGGGUGGGGAAUAACACCUCGAAAGAGGUGCUAAUACCGCAUAAUGCAGCGGCACCUUAUGGUGACAGUUGUUAAAGCGGGGGAUCGCAAGACCUCGCGCCUGAAGAGAAGCCCGCGGCGGAUUAGCUAGUUGGUGGGGUAAUGGCCCACCAAGGCAACGAUCCGUAGCCGGCCUGAGAGGGCGGUCGGCCACACUGACACUGACACACGGGUCAGACUCCUACGGGAGGCAGCAGUCGGGAAUUUUGGGCAAUGGGCGAAAGCCUGACCCAGCAACGCCGCGUGAAGGAUGAAAUUUUUCGGAAUGUAAACUUCGCAAGAACAGGAAGAAUAAGUAGAGGCUAAUACCUUCUAUGAUGACGGUACUGUUUGUAAGCUCCGGCUAACUCCGUGCCAGCAGCCGCGGUAAUACGGGGGGAGCAAGCGUUGUUCGGAUUUACUGGGCGUAAAGGGCGCGUAGGCGGCCACGACAAGUCACUUGUGAAAUCUCCGGGCUUAACUCGGAACGGUCAAGUGAUACUGUCGGGCUAGAGUGCAGAAGGGGCAACUGGAAUUCUCGGUGUAGCGGUGAAAUGCGUAGAUAUCGAGAGGAACACCUGCGGCGAAGGCGGGUUGCUGGGCUGACACUGACGCUGAAGCGCGAAAGCCAGGGGAGCGAACGGGAUUAGAUACCCCGG